rnacentral:rRNA from 1 species
GACAGAGGAUGCAAGCGUUAUCCGGAAUGAUUGGGCGUAAAGCGUCUGUAGGUGGCUUUUUAAGUCCGCCGUCAAAUCCCAGGGCUCAACCCUGGACAGGCGGUGGAAACUACCAAGCUGGAGUACGGUAGGGGCAGAGGGAAUUUCCGGUGGAGCGGUGAAAUGCGUAGAUAUCGGAAGGAACACCUGUGGCGAAAGCGGCUCACUGGACCAUUACUGACGCUGAGGCGCGAAAGCUAGGGGAGCAAACAGG